rnacentral:pre_miRNA from 1 species
GAUUUUAACUGAAAAAGUCAUCAAUAACAAAGUGGUAUAACUCAUCAAGAUCUAUAACUUUUAUUUCAGUCAUUUCUUCAUCCGAGAAAGUGAUUUGUAACAUUGUUCACAAAAUGUACAUAUCUCUUAUAUAGUUUAUAAACUAUAACAGAGAUAUGUAAUUUUGUGAACAAUGUUAGUAUCACUUUAUCGGAUAAAGAAAUGACCAAAAUAAAAUUUAUAGAUACUGAUGAGUUAUACAACUUUGUUAUUGAUGACUUUUCAGUUGAAAUC